GUGCCAGCCGCCGCGGUAAGACGAACCGAGCGAACGUUGUUCGGAAUAACUGGGCUUAAAGGGCGCGUAGGCGGGCCGCCAAGUCCGAGGUGAAAUCCUCCGGCUCAACCGGAGAACUGCCUCGGAUACUGGAGGUCUCGAGGGUGGUAGGGGCACGCGGAACUGUGGGUGGAGCGGUGAAAUGCGUUGAUAUCCACAGGAACUCCGGUGGCGAAGGCGGCGUGCUGGACCACAUCUGACGCUGAGGCGCGAAAGCCAGGGGAGCAAACGGGAUUAGAUACCCCGGUAGUCCUGGCCCUAAACGAUGGGUACUAGGUAGUAGACUUGACAUGGGUUUACUGCCGGAGCUAAAGUGCUAAGUACCCCGCCUGGGGAGUAUGGUCGCAAGGCUGAA
rnacentral:rRNA from 1 species